rnacentral:hammerhead_ribozyme from 1 species
AUCCAGCUGACGAGUCCCAUAUAGGAUGAGACGCAUGUCCUGGAU